UACGUAGGCAGCGAGCGUUUGUUCGGAGUUACUGGGCGUAAAGGGUGUGUAGGCGGUUGUUUUAAGUUUGGUGUGAAAUCUCCCGGCUCAACUGGGAGGGUGCGCCGAAUACUGAAUGACUCGAGUGUGGGAGAGGUGAGUGGAAUUCCUGGUGUAGCGGUGAAAUGCGCAGAUAUCAGGAGGAACACCGGUGGCGAAGGCGGGUCUCUGGGGCCGAUACUGACGCUGAGGAGCGAAAGCGUGGGGGAGCGAACAGG
rnacentral:rRNA from 1 species